ACAAAGUUUAUAUUAGAGCGUCAUCCAUUAAUGCUUUGGCUAGGAGGGGGUCUAUCGCCCUGGUUGGAGUGCAGCAGUGUAAUCAUAGCUCACUGCUGCCAUGAACUUCUGGGCUCAAGCGAUCCUCCCACCUCAGCCUCCCUGUGUGCUGGGAUUAAAAGUGUGAGCCACCGUGCCUCAUCGUAAGGGUCUUAAAAGAAACCCUAUUUCAUACUUUCUUGAUGCACUUGAUAUGGAUUAUAUAAAUCUAUGGACAAAAAUGACAUCAGUACAAUGGAAUAUUGGAGUUUUCUACCAUAAUCUCUGCAUAGUGCACUGAUUUUGACAAUCACCUAUGGAUGAAAAUACAUUUGCCAGAGUCUAGGAGUUAAAUGGAAAAGUUAACAGCACACCGUUGGAGAAAAAUAUCUGGGAGUAGAUGCAUUCAAGGGAGUAAGAAGAACAAUUACCUGCAUCACCUCACCCCCAGGGUCCACUUCUUAGUGCCAAGAUAGACUCCCUUCAGCAGGCAAUUUCUCCCAUGGGGAAAAGGAGAGUAUAAUGAGUGAGUAUCCAGCUUUUCCAGCUGUGUGAGGCACAUC
rnacentral:lncRNA from 1 species